CCUAGAACUGCCUCCUUCCAAGCGACACUGGGGCUGGCUCCCCAUCUGAGCCGUCUGGAGACCCUGUGGCUGGCAGGUGACGCCGUCCCCCGGCCCAGGGCCAAGGGGGAGCAGGGCUGUGGAGAGCAUGACCCCCUUGUUAAAUCACGUCUGCCUUUAUGCCUCGAUACACCACACAGAGAGAUGACAGGAGAUACCACCAAGAUGAGAUGCCAACCCGGGAGAGGCUCUGCAGGUCCCCUUGUGCCCACGUCUACCUGGCUUGUCCCCACAGGUGGGUUUUCUGAGACAAGGGGGAUUUUGGACACAGGUCUGUCCCCAGAGCCAGCCAGCAGCUCCAGAGAAGAGACAGCAGGUGCCCAGGACGAUGCGGCUUAGUUGCCAGGUAACGGUGGUCACCAUAGCAACAGCUGCCUCCUCAGAGGCCGCAGAAGCCUCGGCACCCCCCACCCUGCAGACCGGGGGUGGGGGAG
rnacentral:lncRNA from 1 species